CGUUUCUAUCUCCAGCACUCUAUCUCCCCAUCUCCCAUCAACCCUAGCUGGCUUAACGUGUUUCCUCUCCCCUUUCUACCCACUCCGUCGUACCAUUCAUCAGCUUGAUUCUUUGAUUGAUCUGAUGUUGAGGCUUUCCUUUCUGUUGCCGGUUGUUGUUUGCCAGACAUGGUGGAACCAUUCACGUCUCUACAUCUCAAACUCUCCACUGUUCAUUCGUCAUUCAGCAGUGUUUUAGGUUUGAAUCCAUCAGUGUUUUGGGUUUCCUCUCCUCCUCUGUAGGGUUCUCACGUUUUCUGAUCCAAUUGAUGAUGGAGGAUUUCAUCACGUUGAUGGUGGCUCCAAUGGGAUGCAGGGGAAGGCUUAUGAGAUUUUGAGACCUCAAUAACGCUAUCAGUAUGAAAUGUGGCUGAAGCUGCUGAAGUGCAGAAAAUGAAGAAUGUUUUAUGCUGUGGAAAGCAGUGAAGACAUUUCUAGAUGCACGCACAGCAGCAAAAAUUCAAGUUGAGUAAUGGACACUACCAGUCGUACUGCAUCUUCAACCUCACUUGAACUACUUUGAUGCUUUGCAAUUCAUUAUUUUCUAUUUGAUAUCCUGUUCUGGAGCAUUAUGUUUUGGGGGAAGUUUCUACUUCAGUGAUAACUGGUUUUCCUUUCUCUCUAUACUCAACCUUUGUGAUUGAGGCUCAUCAUGGUUUUAAUAAGGUUCAUAUCCUCCUUUCAAAUUCAAUCAUCUAUCUCUUAUUUCAUCAAUCUUUUUAGUCUGCAGCUUUUGAGUUUGAUCUGACAUCUCAUUUUACUAAUAUUUGUAAAAUUCAUAUAUACAUUGUAACAUUUGUUGUUAUCUAUCAUACAACAAACACCAUGUCUAUUCUUUAAGGACAUGAUAAAAGGAAUUUUCCUUUAUGUAAUAAUUGGUUCACCUAUUGUUGUUGCAAUUAUAAUAGUACAUAUAAAAUCUCAGACUAUUGGAAAUAAUUGUCACUUAUUUAAAAACUUAGCUUUAAGUAAUUAAUUUGUAUUACCUACCUGUUCUUGAUUUAGAGUUACUUUUGGUUGUGAUGCUUUGAUGCAUCAAAUUUAGAGUUAUAUAUAGUUUUGCUGGCAAUGUUAUGACAAAAAUAAUGGCCCUAAACUCUACUGCCCAAGUAGUUUCCAACUCUCUUCUUUGGUUUUCUUGAUUCCAUUGGUUGUGAGAAAAAGGGUGAUCACAAGGUUUUUAUCCAAGUGUUGGAAGUUUAAGGAUCUUUUAACAAGCCACAGUUUAUGGAAAACCCAACAUUGCUUGAGUUUUAACCUAUGUUGCAAGCUUUAUUAGUUUCGUUGAAUAACAUAUGACUUAUUGGCCUUUUCUAAUUUAACUAUGACUAUGUCGUUUCAAUUCAGAUGCUUGCUUUAGACUUUAGACAAAUUGAGCUCAGGUACUUGAGAGCUUUUUGGCAUGAUAUCAGAGUUUUUUGAAUUCAGCUACUUGCUUUAGACUUUAAAGAAAUUAAACUUAUGUACUUCAGAGCUUUCUGGCAUGAUCUCUGUAUUCAAAGGAGAUAAUUUCUUUUUUAUAAUUUUUCAAUAUAAGGGCAGUCAGGGACUGCAUGGCUGAUAGCUGAAGUGAACUGAAUUUGGUUAAUGAACUUGAUUCUUUCUUAAUCUAAGAUGCUAUGUGAGUUUGGUCCGUGUGACAUGUGCUUUUCUUUCUCAAUAUGAUACACUCUUGAGGUGAUAAUGAACUAUCCCUAUCUUUAUCAAAUUCAAAAAUGGUACUUAUUUCAAUCUCUUAUCUUUAUUGAGUGUAAGACGGGGAUAUUUCAUGGUUGCAAGAAAUGCUUCUCAAGUAAAGCAACAAAAGAGAAGCAUUUCUUGCAGCCAUCUUGCUCUCACGUGGAAGUUUGAUUUAGAUUUUUUAUUUGCUUUGCUCUCUACAUCAGUUCCAUUCUUUUUUUGUGGAGAAAUAGUUACACCCUUAAAAAUGAGGUAGACCAAAAGACUACACACCAGUACGCAAAGCCAAAAAAAAAAGAACUUUGCGCUUUAAAGACUUCCGGCCUCUUCUUCCUUGCUUUGUGAAAUUUUUAUAAUUCUGAACAAUUAGUUUAGCUUGCUGAACUGUAUGGACUAGAGUUUCCCUGUAUUUUUUAUCGGUGGAAUUUAUUUUUGUAUUAUGCCAUCUCAUAAAGGGAUUGUGGCCCUUUCACCUAAUCCUCUGAGUGUUCGUUUUAAUUUGUGGCCCUUGCAACAUCUAAUGCUCAGAAUUAUCAUCUACCAUCUAUGCUCCAUAAAAAGUUGACUUUGAUGAUAUCAAUCUAUCAUUCUUUGCCUUUAAGCCUACAACAAAUGCAGGCUCCUCUUUUUAUCAUGAUGCUAGAAGAAAAAUAAGCAAACCAUAUGCAUAUAAUUUACGUGCUUGGUGGUUAUAAAAUUAUAUUUUUAUGUCACCUUGAAUUUGAAAGAAAAUAUAUUUUAAAUUUUAUUCCCAACAGGGUCCAUCAGUUCUAUCUAGAACUCCUCAAGUAUUUCUGGAUGAGUAUUUACAAACCAUUCAUGAACAUUGAUGUAAUCCUGCAAACAAGAACUUGAAUUACAG